UUUCUCUUCUCCACCGACGGGAGGCGUUCUUUUCCUCCUCUUCUUCACGAUUCUUCUCGAAUUUCUUCUAUAUAAAAGUGGGGUUCUCGUUAUUGAUCCUUUUGAUUUCUUAUUCAAGCUGUUCGUAUGGGUGAAAACGAUUCAGAAAGCUCUGAAAGUGCCAAACCCAAGAAUGUAUCUGAAAAUUCCGACGGAGGUGAUGAAUUGACGGGUUUAGAGGAAGAUUCGAG
rnacentral:misc_RNA from 1 species